UAUUUCCCUACAAAUUUUAACCACAAAUACUCACUUUCCAGCACAAAAGUACUAAAUCGCCCUCAACAUAAAUACAUCAAUGUCCACUCUUUAUCCCCUAAAAAAUUCAUUCUCAGAAUCUGAAAGCAACCUCUCCCAAUUCCUCUCUUCUGUCGAACCAAGGAAAAAUUGGAGGGCAUCUGACCAAGUUAUUCGACGAUUAUCUAAACCUCAACUAGAAGAAGCUUUGACCACCACCUCAAUUGUUGAAACGACGCCCCCAAUAGCGUACAUAGGGAACAAACAAAAGGAAAAGAAAAGAAGCAGCGACAUCAGCAACCGGCGACUCCUAUUGCUACCAGGUCCCUCUUUUCUAGUUCCUCAAAUUGCUUUUGCAGUUGCAGAUUUUUAUGUACCUAGCAACGAAGAGGAAGCGUACUAUACUCCAAACGUGCAUCCUCAUCGAGAAAGCAAUUUCCAAGCCUCCACGGUGUAAGUUACACAAGUGCAAUCUGAAACUCCGCAACAAUCAAGUUGGACUCAAAUGCAUACAAGCCAGGUUCAUUUGGUGCAUGGUAAGAGUGUGGAAGAUAUUGAUUAUGGUGGAGGUCUUUCUUGUAUAAAUUGGGAAGCAAAUUUUAAGGUUGGAUGAGUUUUUCCAAAUAAGCUUGCCCUUAUAAAAACCUUAUGUUUAGCAGCAGUCAUAGGCCACUUUCGAUUUAGAACAAUCCAAUCUGGGAAACGUAGGUUGUGUGUUCAUUGUUAGCAACUUCCUUGCCCUUAGCGACUUCGGGCAUAUAAAGUUGGAUUACAGGAGUUUAGGGUUGUUAAAUACGAUCCAUAUUAUGAAUGUGAUCUAAGGUAUCUUAGUAGUCACCAUCCUCAAGCUAGUACUGGAUUGUUGUCUGACUCUGUGAAAUGCAGAUUCAAGGAUUCUCGCACCAUUUAUACUGCAGGUGAUAUCAUCAAAGAUGUGCGAAAAAUUUUUGGUGUGACCAUAAGCUACUCUAAAGCAUGGAGAAGCCAAGAGUUAGCUUUAAAGAUAAUUAGAGGGUCUGCAGAAGAGUCAUAAGCUCUUCUCCCUUCCUAUUGUUAUGAAUUGGAGCGUACAAAUCCUGAAAAUUUGACAUACAUUGAGACUGAUGCAGCCAACCACUUUUUAUAUUUUUUUUAUGUCAAUUGGUGCAUGCAUAAGAGGAUUUAAGUCCUCAAUGCGUCCUAUGAUUGAUGUUGAUGCUACCCAUUUGAAGUGCAAGUACAAAGGUGUCUUGUUUGUUGCCGCUGCAUUUGACGGAAAUCGUAAUAUAUAUCCUCUUGCCUUUGGGACUGGAGAUUUGGAGACGGAUGCAGCUUUGGAAUGGUUUUUUACAAUACUACAUUGUGCAAUUGGUGAUUGCUUGAAUCUUGUUGUCAUAUCUGAUUGAAAUCUUAGCAUAGAAAAUGGGUUGAAAAGAGUUUUUCCUCAGGCAGCACAUAGUAUUUGCUUUUAUCACUUGAAGGCAAUAUGAAAGCCUCAUUUAAGUUGAAGAAGCGGGAUCUGAUAUUGGGAUUUUUUGUGCGGGCAGCCAAGUCUUGCCGUCUAGCAGAGUUCAAUCAUUAUUUCUCCAUGAUAAACAACGAGCGAGUGCAAACUUAUCUAGAAUGUGCAGGGCUCCAUAAGUGGUCUCAAGCCCAUUGUGACGGACGACGAUAUAAUGUCAUGACAACUAAUAUUGCAGAGUCCAUUAAUUCAGUUCUUCGUUUUGCAAGGAUGCUUCCGGUGGUACACUUGAUCGAGGAAAUUAGGAAUAUGCUUCAGAAUUGGUUUAGUCAACGUCGAGAUUUGUCAAUGAAAUGUAAAUCUAUGUUGUGCCAUGAUUUAGGCGAAAAGAAGUUGAGGAAGAGAUUAGACGCUGCUUCAAGGAUGAAUGUGGUUAAAAUCAAUGAUGUGGAGUAUAAUGUGCUUGAUGGUGAUAUGAACGGUCUUGUGCACUUGCAAAACCAUAAUUGUACGUGUAGGAAGUUUGACUUAGAGCAACUCCUGUGCAAGCAUGCUAUUGCGGUAUGUCGGCACUUGAAAUUGAACCCAUACUCAUUUGCCUCUUCGUAUUACACUCGAACUACAUGGGCAGCUGCAUAUGCUUAAUCCAUUUAUCCUGUACAACCUCAAGGGACAUGAGUUAUUCCCGAAAAUGUCCAAAAUGUAAAUCUCCUCUCUCCUAUUUCAAAGGUUAUGCCUAGCCAUCGUAAGACACAAAGAAUACCUUCUAAAGGAGAGGACUCACAAGAAAGAAAAUGCUCACGGUGCGGUGUGAAGGGCCACUAUCGAAGGACAUGCAAAGAAGUUAUCCCCGUCACUAACAAGAAGCAGAUCAUUUAGAUGUUACAAUUGUUUAAUUUGUAUGUCUCAUUCCAUUAAGUGGGGAUAUUUGUUACCUAACUUUAUGUACAAUUUGUGUUCCUAACAUGUCACUGUUUUUGUUUUUGGAAAUAAGUAUCCUUAUAGGUACCGAAUUGUAUAGAUCA